CCUACGGGUGGCAGCAGUGAGGAAUAUUGGUCAAUGGGCGGAAGCCUGAACCAGCCAAGUCGCGUGAGGGAUUAAGGCCCUGCGGGUCGUAAACCUCUUUUGCCGGGGAGCAGUGGUCCGGACGAGUCCGGGCCGGGAGAGUACCCGGAGAAAAAGCAUCGGCUAACUCCGUGCCAGCAGCCGCGGUAAUACGGAGGAUGCGAGCGUUAUCCGGAUUUAUUGGGUUUAAGGGGUGCGUAGGCGGGCAUUUAAGCCGGCGGUCAAAUGUCGGGGCUCAACCCCGGCCUGCCGUCGGAACUGGGUGCCUUGAGUGGGCGAGAAGUAGGCGGAAUGCGUGGUGUAGCGGUGAAAUGCAUAGAUAUCACGCAGAACCCCGAUUGCGAAGGCAGCAUACCGGCGCCCGACUGACGCUGAGGCACGAAAGUGCGGGUAUCGAACAGGAUUAGAUACCCCUGUAGUC
rnacentral:rRNA from 1 species